rnacentral:rRNA from 1 species
AUAGAGCUUGCUUUAUUAAGUUAGUGGCGCACGGGUGAGUAACGCGUGGGUAACCUGCCUUUCAAUCUGGGAUAACACUGUGAAAACAGUGCUAAUACCGGAUAAUAAGUUUAGUCGUAUGAUUAGAUUUUAAAAGAUGCCCUCUGUAUAUGGUAUCGUUGGGAGAGGGGCCUGCGUACUAUUAGCUAGUUGGUAAGGUAAAAGCUUACCAAGGCGAAGAUGGUUAGCCGGCUUGAGAGAGUGAUCGGCCACACUGGAACUGAGACACGGUCCAGACUCC